AGAGGGCUCCCAGCUUCCUUCCAGCGUCCUUGGAUGAGACAGAGACAGCAACUUGGCGGAGAGAUAGGAUGAUCACAGCUGUACGGCUGCUCAAGAAGCAUUGCUUUCCAGCAUGAAAGGCGUAGUGUUGAACUGCUAAACUCUUCUCUAUUCCUACGCACCUGUGUCUAUGGGAGACGCAGGUACCUUUGCAGAUCUUGGCCCGCAUCAUUGGAGCAAAUGGGAUGAAGAGGGAGUGCAGGGAAGAGGGGAAGAAGGGGCAGUUGAGAAAGAAGAGCUUUGGAUGGUUCUAAUGCCAUCUAACAACACUGGGGCCUUGCUGAGAAUGUAUUGUAUCUCCCAGAAGACGCUGUUUAACUUACCUUUGGAAAGCACAGUGAAAGGAGUUUCAAGCAUCUCCCAGGACCGUCAAUGCUGUUGCAAUAAUAUAUUAAAUAAACAACGUCACUAUUGUUUGCAAAGGAAACAGAGUUCCAG